GUGGGGAAUAUUGGACAAUGGGGGGAACCCUGAUCCAGCCAUGCCGCGUGUGUGAAGAAGGCCUUUUGGAUGUAAAGCACUUUAAGCGAGGAGGAGGCUACCGAGAUUAAUACUCUUGGAUAGUGGACGUUACUCGCAGAAUAAGCACCGGCUAACUCUGUGCCAGCAGCCGCGGUAAUACAGAGGGUGCAAGCGUUAAUCGGAUUUACUGGGCGUAAAGCGCGCGUAGGUGGCCAAUUAAGUCAAAUGUGAAAUCCCCGAGCUUAACUUGAGAAUUGCAUUCGAUACUGGUUGGCUAGAGUAUGGGAGAGGAUGGUAGAAUUCCAGGUGUAGCGGUGAAAUGCGUAGAGAUCUGGAGGAAUACCGAUGGCGAAGGCAGCCAUCUGGCCUAAUACUGACACUGAGGUGCGAAAGCAUGGGGAGCAAACAGGAUUAGAAACCCUUGUAGUCC
rnacentral:rRNA from 1 species